CGGUUAUCCAUAUUACAAGAUUAUUAUUUGACAACAAAAUAAUACUUACUUGCAAUCAUAAAGGAGAGCCUUCUAACUAUACGUUUGGCAACUGGGAGCAUCGCUCCGAAUUCAAAGAAUAUAUUCGAAGUUUCCGAGGGACGAAAGAUGGUAAAUUGACCAUCUUUAAAGCAGGCAACAACAACAGGCGGCAUGAAAAUGAUGGCAUUUACACGUGUAACUCGUCAAACGGUAUUCCUAAUGUACAUGGAGAUUUAUACCAGAAAGGAACUGUUCUCAUUAACGAUCAAGGUCCGCCAAUAUUUGUGAAAGCAAACAAACCAAUUCAGUUCGGACAAUACAGUCGGGAGAUUAACUUGACCGUGCUUCUGUACAACAAGUUUGGCAACAUCCAAGCAAAUAUUUCUAAAGAUAACAUAACUCUAAACAUACAGACUACUAUGAUGAAAAUUGUAACGAAUGACGUAUUUCACAAUGUUAACGUAACAGUAAAUGGUAUCAAGAUAACCUUCAAAAUAGUUUUGGAUAAAGCUGAAGAUUUUAAUGACUACACAAUAACAGCUUGUAACCAAAAAGGAUGCAAUGAGUACAUGGUACUGAUUAAAUCGGCAAGUUGUCCAGAGCCUCCAACAAAUGUGUCAGUUAUUCCCUUUGAAACAUAUCUUAAAGUUUCUUGGUGUCCAGGAUUUGACGGAGGAUUUUUUCAGACAUUUGUUAUAGAAUAUAAAACAGAAACCGCAGAAAUGUGGAGGCAGACAGAACCUGUAAUGGACAAUAUGCAGCAUAUGAUGACAGUUCUAUUAUAUGAUAUAAGUCCGAAUACUCGAUAUUAUGUUCAAGUAUUGUCAACGAAUAGAUUUGGACAAUGUAUACGUAAUAAGACGGAUUUCACUCUGGUACUGUC